CAGGCACUGAAUCAAGGCCAAUAGCUCACUGUAGCCAUUGGUUUCAAACAGGAGCCGAGAGUAAACAUCUUCUUUGGUCUGUUGGGCUCUCAGAGUUUCAAAAGAGAGUUUGCCAGUUCACUUAGAAGAAACAAAC
ensembl:snoRNA